rnacentral:rRNA from 1 species
ACUCCUACGGGAGGCAGCAGUGGGGAAUAUUGCACAAUGGGCGCAAGCCUGAUGCAGCCAUGCCGCGUGUGUGAAGAAGGCCUUCGGUUGUAAAGCACUUUCAGUCGUGAGGAAGGUAGUGUAGUUAAUAGCUGCAUUAUUUGUACGUUAGCGACAGAAGAAGCACCGGCUAACUCCGUGCCAGCAGCCGCGGUAAUACGGAGGGGUGCGAGCGUUAAUCGGAAUUACUGGGCGUAAAGCGCAUGCAGGUGGUUUGUUAAGUCAGAUGUGAAAGCCCGGGGCUCAACCUCGGAAUAGCAUUUGAAACUGGCAGACUAGAGUACUGUAGAGGGGGUAGAAUUUCAGGUGUAGCGGUGAAAUGCGUAGAGAUCUGAAGGAAUACCGGUGGCGAAGGCGGCCCCCUGGACAGAUACUGACACUCAGAUGCGAAAGCGU